GGAUUGCAGGCUGCAACCCGCCUGCAUGAAGUUGGAAUUGCUAGUAAUCGCGAAUCAGAAUGUCGCGGUGAAUAUGUUCCCGGGUCUUGUGCACACCGCCCGUCACACCAUGGGAGUUGGAAAUGCCCGAAGUCAGUGACCCAACCGCAAGGAGGGAGCUGCCGAAGGCAGGUCCGGUAACUGGGGUGAAGUCGUAACAAGGUACC
rnacentral:rRNA from 1 species